AAACCGACGCAACCGCUAUGUAUUAUGCGAACCAUACCGGAAUAGCAUCGAGAGGCCUGAAAUACAGAUUGAAUUCUCGCGUCUUUCCCAGUACGUGCCUACACGCGCCUUCUUGUUUUGUUUCUGCGCUCUGUCUCUCUCUCUCUGCCUCUUACAAUAGUUGCCUUCUUUGUAUUUCUUCCACUUAGCCUCCCCGACAUCGUCGCGCUCUCUCUCCCUCUUCGUUCACCAACAUCCACGGAGCUCACGCUUCUACGUUGGUUUCAGCACUCUACACUGAGAGUGCCAAAGUAUUAUCUUCCUUCAGCUCGGCUUUCUUCGCUUCACCCGUCUCUCCUACUGUCUUACGCGACGCUGCUGCUGGGAGCUUGGGGAGGGGCCGAGCUUGCGAGUGAGCCGCGUGACAGGUGGCACAGAUACAACGAUCGUACUCGCCGUUUGCUUUCCACCAAUGCUGUUCUCUCUUUGCUCUCGCGCACCUCUCUCUUUUUCUCUGCUUCUUUUUGUGUGAGGUGUUCCGCAGCGUUGGUGACUCUUUCUGUUUCCUCCGUUUUCGUGUCUUCCACCUCUCUUCAGUGGCGUGCGCAGUGGGGGGCGCGCGAUGCAGAAGUAUCAAAUCUUAGGCAAGAAGGGUGAGGGCACCUUCAGCGAGGUGCUUCGUGCGCAGGACAUCAAGACGCAGCAAUAUGUAGCAAUUAAGUGCAUGAAGAAGGCUUUCAAGUCCAAGGAGCAGGUGAACCGGCUGCGUGAGAUUCAAGCGGUCCGGCGCCUACAGCCGCACCCGAACAUUGUUGACCUGGUGGAGGUGCUCUUUGACCGUAGCACUGGCCGCCUCGCGCUUGUCUUGGAGUUGAUGGAUAUGAGUCUCUACGAGCUCAUCAAAGGGAGGAAGCAGUACCUGGGCGAGGAGAAGGUGCGGUCGUACAUGUAUCAGCUGCUGAAGGGGCUCGACCACGCUCACCGCAUCGGUGUCUUCCACCGCGAUAUUAAGCCGGAGAACCUUCUCAUCGACGCCGAGGGUCAUCUCAAGAUUGCCGACUUCGGCUCGUGCAAAGGCGUCUACUCGAAGUUGCCGCUCACAGAGUACAUCUCCACGCGGUGGUACCGCGCCCCCGAGUGUCUGCUGACAGAUGGUUACUACAACUACAAGAUGGACUUGUGGAGCGCGGGGUGCGUCUUCUUCGAGAUCAUCGCCCUCUUCCCCCUCUUUCCUGGCAGCAACGAGCUGGACCAGGUCCACCGCAUUCACAAUGUCUUGGGCACUCCACCGACCGAGAUUCUCGACCGCUUGAAAAAGUUCGGCACGCAUAUGGACUACGACUUCCCCAAAAAGCAAGGCACCGGACUCGCGAAGCUGCUGCCACACGUCUCCGCGGAUGCCUUAGACUUGAUGAAGAAGCUGCUCACAUAUGACGAGGAGCAGCGCUGCACGGCGAAGGAGGCACUACGGCACGCGUACUUUAGCAAGCUGCGCGAAGCUGACAAGAAGAGCCACCGCCCUAAGCACAGCGCCAGCAUCAGCAGACCGACUACUGUCACGGACGAUGCGCACGCCUCGAUGGGUCUCGGCAGCAGCCCUCGCAAAACCACCAACGGGAUGCCCUCGCUGAACGGCACGCUGACGGCAAGCCGCAAGCUACCGGUGAUUGACGGGAAGUCGCCGACGAAGUCCAGCACGCUGGUCUCCAACCAAAGCACGCUGCACCAAGUGCACGGAGCGGUGGCGACGUCCGCCUCGGGUGAGGAUCUGGUCGCGCGAAGCCUACCAAAGCUGAUAUAGCAGAGUUCACUGAAGGCACUGCCGUGUGUACGCUUGCCGUUUCCGGUGCACUUUUUUUUGUCGUGGGAGGGGUGCCCAGGUAUAUAUGCCCAUGCCUGCACUUCGUUUUGACGUCUUGCUUUCGUCCCUUCUCCUAACUCUGGCGCCCACGCGCAUGAGCAGGCGAUUUUGCGCUUCCUCCAUGUCGGCUUCCUCCUCAUGCUCCGCAGUUCUCUUCGUUGCUCUACGUCACCAGUUCAGUCAUCGACAAGAGGUUAGGUGGCGGCUCACGUCUGGUGAAUGUAUCUCAUGUGCCGGUACCAUGUUGUGCUGAGAAAGUCGUUUUCCUGAAGGAAACGAGCUGGUGGACGGCCGUUAAUGGCCCGAGAAAACUCGACGCGGUGCCGCUGGGUGCCCGCGCGAGUGAGGCUAGCACAGAUACACUCAUCUUUGGACCUUGAGGAAGGGGCGGGGACGGAGAAGAGGUGCGCGGAGGGGCAAGUGAUCGUGGGAGUGCUGUUGUCCGCUCGUUGCACUUAGACUGUGUUUCGUUGGUCAGUGGUUGGCCUGCGCAUGGUAGAGUUCUGUUUUUUUUUUUUUUGGAGGGGGGACCGUGGCUGCCGUGCGGUGCCCUCCUCUUGGAAUCUGUAGCGAAGUGUAAGACGGCACACGCACGGGAAACGGCUGCGGCUGUGGCUAGACGGCUUCGUGGUUUUCAACGUCUGAUAGCUGAGGGAAGAAGACAAAAAAAAAAAGACGGGUCGUCUUUUGCUGUGACUGCAGCGAUGUUCGGCCCCUUGCUGAGACCUUCCUUCGUUGUUGCGUGUGGGUGUUCCUUCUUACGAUCGCGUCUUGUCUCUCGCGCCCGUCGCGCAGUGCGCAGUACGCCUUUUCCUCCCGAGCGCCUCUCUGUUGUUGCCCUUCCCGAUGUCGUCCCGCUUUGGCGCCGUGGGUGGCACAUCUUUUUUGAACGACGCCUGCAGCUCGCUGCUUGCAUCCUGUCGCCUUUCUCCGCGUCCUGCCUCCUCCUCUGCUGAAGUUUCGGUUAGGCGAGUGCGUGCGUGCUCCAGAGAGCCUUGUGCAUGGCAGGGAGAGUGAAAAGGAGCACGUGGGCGGGACAACGGCAUCGGCGGCGACGGCAAUGAACAGAAUUUGCCAGUCCGCUUCGUCUCGCUUUGAUGUGUUCUUUGCCGUCACCACUGCGCCCUUCUGCGUCUCCUCUUUCUCCGCAUCAAUCGUCUUUCGCUAAAUGCGUGCCUUCAUCGUCCUCACCUUCAGAGAAGAGGAGAGAGCGAGAAGGCCCCCUCCCCCUCCAACAACAAAAAAUAUGUUGUGCGCAUGAUGUCUGUUUUAAUGCUUUGGCUGCUUUUUGUUCUCUUUCCUGUUCUACGCUAUUCCAUUCUUCCGCUCUCCUUGAGAGACGAGAGAACCAUCCACGUGCCGUGCUCACGGGUACCGUUGCGCAUGUAUGUGUACGUGUAUGUUUGAGCAGACACAUCGCACCUGUAUUGGAUCAUAAGCUUCCUUUUGUUGUUGAUAGCGUUGUGCCUUUUUUUUUCAUUCUUCUUUUCGGUCCUGUGGCACCUUUAUCUUCUUCGCUUCCACUCUCCCAUUCUAUUUUGGGUGUCUUCUGGGCUUUUCUCACGGGUGACGGUUUGCUUCGCUCAGCUGAAUUCCUAUUUCACGUGCAUAUUCGUAUAUUUAUAUACAUAUAUAUAUAUAUAUCGAUCUAUAGCUGCCUCUUUCGCCUGCAUGUGCUUUUCCGUUUCCUUCUCCCCUCAUCUCUCUCGUUCUUUUUUUUCUUUCCUUCUUCUUGCCCUCACGUGCUCUUUUUCAUUUGUGUUCUUCCGGCCCUUUGUUGCUUCAGCUUGUCUGUGUCCUCUUCCUGCUCCCCUCAUGACGGCGGCACAAACCUCACGGUGCUUGGUAUCACAGGGCCCCGUACACCCCCACUCUGUGUGUGUGUGUAGGAGGAGGCCACGCGGCACCUCACCUCUGUCCCCUGCCAAUGUCAGAACCCUACUUCUUCUGGUGCGGACAGGGUCAAGCACCGACGACGUAGCGGCGGUCGGGGCGGUGUACCACUGCUGGCGUCGGCGACGCGGCCGUGGAUAGCGUUGUGCUGGGGCGGCCUGCAACCGUGCACACGUCUGCGCCAUCCAUAUGAUUGGGCAGCGUGCCAGAGCGACUCGGGCGCAUAUCUCACCCGGCCCUCGCGCACUGCCUGCUGGCGCGGGUGGGGGGGGGCUGAGCCAUGCCCCGAGGAGGGAUGCACGAGGGCUGGCGGCCGGCAUGAUGGGGGAGCGGCUGUGAGGCGAGACCUGCGAGGCAAAGAGAGGGGGAGAGAGAGGUUGGUAGGGCACGAGGCAGGGGGGCCGUGCUCUCAGAUGGCUGAGUGGGCGCACUGCUGCAGCGCGUGUGUCCACGACUGCUUCGCACCACGCUGGUGGGACCUGUGCGCCUGCGGGGCUCGAGUGGCGUUUGAUCUCCUGUGCUGUAGCGGAGAAGGGGCACGGGGGAAGGCGACGAAAAAAAGAGCUCUUUCGGGUUUCAUGCGCGUGUGUUCGUGUCUCGCUUGUUCCGUCGCGCGCUAUCGUUUUUCGAAUGUUUGUGGACGACUUUCUGUAUUCAUCAGCUUGUGUGGUAACAGCUGUGCUUCUCUGCUUGCGCGCGCUCCGUUUGCCUCUCAUUUUGUUUGUGUUCCCUCGAUAGACUUGUGUUUAUAUAUAUGUGUGUGUGUGUGCCUUCCGUUGCUGUGCACGUGCGCGUGAACAGUGGAGGUGCGCGCCGAUCUCGUCAGUAAACGAAAAGG
rnacentral:misc_RNA from 1 species